rnacentral:rRNA from 1 species
CGCCUGUUUAUCAAAAACAUGUCUUUUUGUUAAUUAUUUAAGGUUUGGCCUGCUCCAUGAAUGUAAUUAAAUAGCCGCAGUAUUUUGACUGUGCAAAGGUAGCAUAAUCAUUAGUUUUUUAAUUGAAAGCUGGAAUGAAGGGUCGGAUGAGAAAGUUUCUGUCUCAGUGGUAUUUUCUUUGAAUUUUAUUUUUAAGUUAAAAAGCUUAGAUUUUAUAAGAAGACGAGAAGACCCUAUAGAGUUUAAUAGGUUUACAAUGUAUUUAUUUGUAGGUAUAAAUUUAAUUACUUUGUAUCUUAUUUGGUUGGGGUGACUUAAGAAUUGAUUAAACUUCUUUGUUUAUUAACAUUGAUUAGUGAAUAAUUGAUCCUAAGUUUUGGAUUAUAAGAAUAAAUUACCUUAGGGAUAACAGCGUAAUUUUUUUAGAGAGUUCUUAUCGAUAAAAAGGAUUGCGACCUCGAUGUUGGAUUAAAGUUAAAUUUUGGUGCAAAAGCUAGGGAUUUA